GGAAUAUUGGUCAAUGGACGUAAGUCUGAACCAGCCAUGCCGCGUGAAGGAUGAAGGUCCUCUGGAUUGUAAACUUCUUUUAUCUGGGACGAAACCCCCGAAUUCUUUCGGGACUGACGGUACCAGAGGAAUCAGCACCGGCUACCUCCGUGCCAGCAGCCGCGGUAAUACGGAGGGUGCAAGCGUUAUCCGGAUUCACUGGGUUUAAAGGGUGCGUAGGCGGGCCUGUAAGUCAGUGGUGAAAUCCUGGGGCUUAACCCCAGAACUGCCGUUGAUACUAUAGGUCUUGAAUGUUGUGGAGGUGAGCGGAAUAUGUCAUGUAGCGGUGAAAUGCUUAGAGAUGACAUAGAACACCAAUUGCGAAGGCAGCUCACUACGCAACGAUUGACGCUGAGGCACGAAAGCGUGGGGAUCAAA
rnacentral:rRNA from 1 species